AUUGAAUGAGACAAUUUUUUUUAUCUUAUAAAAAGUUCAAAUAAGUCUCUCUUUGUAACAUGUACAUGUAGAAAAAUAUGUCUAAAAUUCAGAAGUUUGUGUAUGCUAUGAUCCUCGUUCAUUUUCUAUUUUUUAUUGCAACUAUUGUCGCUGCACUUCGGAAACCAUGCAAUAUUGAUGCUGAUUGUCGAAAUUCAAGUUGUACUUUACCUGAUGUUGGGAGGUGUAUGACAGGUCAAUAUUCUGGUCAUUGUUAUUGCAUGUAAUAAUCAUUCAAUGAGCACCUAAAAUAGUUAAAGUUUUUGAGCUCUAGUUCUUAUGUGUGCUUUAAUUUGUAAUUUCUUUCUCGGUUUGUUGCACCUUGUUUGGUGUUUCUGUCUUUGUAUUAGUUGUGUAACUUCAAGAUUCUCAUGGUAUUUUUGUUUUGAUUUGUAAUUUUAGUAUUGCUUCUUUC